UACGGAGGGUGCAAGCAUUGAUCGGAAUUACUGGGCGUAAAGGGCGCGUAGGCGGACUGGCAAGUCAGAUGUGAAAUUCCGCGGCUCAACUGCGGAGCUGCAUUUGAAACUGCCAGACUCGAGCAUAGUUAGGGAAAACGGAAUUCCACGUGUAGCGGUGAAAUGCGUAGAUAUGUGGAAGAACACCGGUGGUGAAGACGGUUUUCUGGGCUAUUGCUGACGCUGAGGCGCGAAAGCUAGGGGAGCAAACAGG
rnacentral:rRNA from 1 species